UCGCUCGGGUUUCUCUUCAUCUCGCAUAAAUCUUUUAGCCUUUUACUAAAGAUUUCGCGGGAGGGGAACAGCCCUGAGUUCGGAUAUUUUGGGAAGCUCUGCUUCGCGGAGCU